rnacentral:pre_miRNA from 1 species
GAGACACCCUUAAGGAAAAGGACUUGCUUCAGUGUGGCUUUGGUGCUCACUGAGUCUGUCCCUUGAGUGUGUCACU